rnacentral:ncRNA from 3 species
GUCCCAUCUGGGUCGCCA